rnacentral:rRNA from 1 species
UACGUAGGGUGCAAGCGUUGUCCGGAAUUAUUGGGCGUAAAGAGCUCGUAGGCGGUCUGUCGCGUCUGCUGUGAAAACUCAGGGCUUAACCCUGAGCUUGCAGUGGGGUACGGGCAGACUAGAGUGCGGUAGGGGAGACUGGAAUUCCUGGUGUAGCGGUGAAAUGCGCAGAUAUCAGGAAGAACACCCGUGGCGAAGGCGGCUCUCGUGGUACGUGACUGACGCUGAGACGCGAAAAGCCGUGGGGAGCGAACAGG